rnacentral:rRNA from 1 species
GACGAACGCUGGCGGCGUGCCUAAUACAUGCAAGUAGAACGCUGAAGAGAGGAGCUUGCUCUUCUUGGAUGAGUUGCGAACGGGUGAGUAACGCGUAGGUAACCUGCCUGGUAGCGGGGGAUAACUAUUGGAAACGAUAGCUAAUACCGCAUAAAAUUGAUUAUUGCAUGAUAAUUAAUUGAAAGAUGCAACUGCAUCACUACCAGAUGGACCUGCGUUGUAUUAGCUAGUUGGUGAGGUAACGGCUCACCAAGGCGACGAUACAUAGCCGACCUGAGAGGGUGAUCGGCCACACUGGGACUGGGACACGGCCCAGACUCCUACGGGAGGCAGCAGUAGGGAAACUUCGGCAAUGGGGGGAACCCUGACCGAGCAACGCCGCGUGAGUGAAGAAGGGUUUCGGAUCGUAAAGCUCUGUUGUAAGGGAAGAACGGGUGUGAGAGUGGAAAGUUCACACUGUGACGGUAUCUUACCAGAAAGGGACGGCUAACUACGUG